rnacentral:rRNA from 1 species
GACGAACGCUGGCGGCGUGCUUAACACAUGCAAGUCGAACGGAAAGGCCCUGCUUUUGUGGGGUGCUCGAGCGGCGAACGGGUGAGUAACACGUGAGUAACCUGCCCUUGACUUUGGGAUAACUUCAGGAAACUGGGGCUAAUACCGGAUAGGAGCUCCUGCUGCAUGGUGGGGGUUGGAAAGUUUCGGCGGUUGGGGAUGGACUCGCGGCUUAUCAGCUUGUUGGUGGGGUAGUGGCUUACCAAGGCUUUGACGGGUAGCCGGCCUGAGAGGGUGACCGGCCACAUUGGGACUGAGAUACGGCCCAGACUCCUACGGGAGGCAGGAGGGGGGAAUAUUGCACAAUGGGCGGAAGCCUGAUGCAGCAACGCCGCGUGCGGGAUGACCGCCUUCGGGGUGUAAACCGCUUUCGCCUGUGACGAAGCGUGAGUGACGGUAAUGGGUAAAGAAGCACCGGCUAACUACGUG